CUAAUUCGAAACCUAGAUUUUCCAUCUUCCCCUUUAAGAGUGAGCACGGAAAUCGGAGAAGUGUAAUCGGUGAGUAUUACAAAUCUCAGUCUGCAAUUUUAUGUUUCAUAUACUAAAUUUGUAGCACUUCUAUUGAUCUGUAGAUGACCUGUUUACUGUAAUGAUCUGCUGUUUGCUUUGUCUUCAUAUGCACAUCACUUGUUUGAUAAAAAUCCCGUUAAAUUACAUGUAUGGUGUAGUCUCUACGAGGUAGGGUUAACGCGUGGGAUUACACAGAGGUAUGUUACUGUUGUUCUUGUUUACUAGUUAGUUACAUGGUGGGAGAACUCUAAAUCAUUGUAAUUUCCUCAUGAUUAUAAACAAGAACUCAACUCCAACGAAAUCAAAAAAUCAAAAGUAGAGAAUGUUAAUACAGAUAAUGAUAUGGUUUUAAGUUGUAAACAUUUAUGUGAAAAUAUUUAAAUGUUUAUAAGUGAUGUGUAUAACAACAAAAACAUACUAAAAACUAAGUUAUAAGUUUAAACUUUAGUUUUAUAGGGUUCAACAACAUCGCAAAGUUUGAGAGACUCUAAUGUUUGACUAACUCAAUAAACUAAACAAAAAACUGACUUUGGUUUUUUUCAAAUUAGUUUUAAAAUUCAGUUUCAUUCAAAUUAGAGCGAUCAACACGAUGAAUCGAACAUGCCAUGGCCAUCCAUUCUACAUAAUAGUAAGCUUUUGAGAAUUAUGUAUUUACAAAUACAUAGAAAUAGAAAUGUCAUAAUGGGGAAAACAAAACAAUUUUGACUGGUAGCAACAGGAUAUAAAUUUAAUUUGUUUCAAUCCUCCCAUAUUGUGGUUUGAGAACAUGGAAGGUUCACGUUUGUGUUUCUCGAUAUUGUAUUUUCUUUUUCAUUACUUUGAUUUGUUGUACUUGAGUUGAGGUUCUUUUGGAAAUUGUCACGGGGUAUGGAUAAUGUUUACAUACACUUAUCCUCCGGGGAAAAUGUCUCUCAAAUUAUGUUAAAGCAAAUAUAUAAACUAAAUCUGAAUAAGAUUGACUCAGUACUAAAAUACUAGAUCUCAUGCUAAUAAUAUGAUUAAACUUUCAAGGGGAUUUAGAAAUUCCAGGCCGACACAAGACGUGGGGUGCUCAGGGGAUUGAAGCAGUGGACACAUUUGAGUAAAGAUUUUACAUUAAAGAAUUGUUAAUUGACAUAUUUGUUAUCUCAGCAAGUACGUUGCGGAAGAUGUGUUUAUCACAUGCAAUGGGGCUCGGCUUGAAUUCACUAGUUUGAAGAAAUUUUCGUUCACCUGGGACUCCAAAGUGCUUGCUUUGCGUCCACUUUGGAUUUAUCUCAGCAAUCACAUCAGUUGCGG
rnacentral:lncRNA from 1 species